AUUUAAAUAGCUUAUAUAAGAGCAUAAUAUUGAAGAUAUUAAGGAAACAAUUUUGUUUUUAAGUA
rnacentral:tRNA from 1 species